CGCGGGGUGGAGCAGCUCGGUAGCUCGUCGGGCUCAUAACCCGAAGGUCGGAGGUUCAAAUCCUUCCCCCGCAACCA
rnacentral:tRNA from 1 species